AAGUCGAACGCUUCUUUGUCCCACCGGAGCUUGCUCCACGCGGGAAAAGAGGAGUGGCGAACGGGUGAGUAACACGUGGGUAACCUGCCCAUCAGAAGGGGAUAACACUUGGAAACAGGUGCUAAUACCGUAUAACAAUCGAAACCGCAUGGUUUCGUUUUGAAAGGCGCUUUACGGUGCCGCUGAUGGAUGGACCCGCGGUGCAUUAGCUAGUUGGUGAGGUAACGGCUCACCAAGGCCACGAUGCAUAGCCGACCUGAGAGGGUGAUCGGCCACAUUGGGACUGAGACACGGCCCAAACUCCUACGGGAGGCAGCAGUAGGGAAUCUUCGGCAAUGGACGAAAGUCUGACCGAGCAACGCCGCGUGAGUGAAGAAGGUUUUCGGAUCGUAAAACUCUGUUGUUAGAGAAGAACAAGGGUGAGAGUAACUGUUCACCCCUUGACGGUAUCUAACCAGAAAGCCACGGCUAACUACGUGCCAGCAGCCGCGGUAAUACGUAGGUGGCAAGCGUUGUCCGGAUUUAUUGGGCGUAAAGCGAGCGCAGGCGGUUUCUUAAGUCUGAUGUGAAAGCCCCCGGCUCAACCGGGGAGGGUCAUUGGAAACUGGGAGACUUGAGUGCAGAAGAGGAGAGUGGAAUUCCAUGUGUAGCGGUGAAAUGCGUAGAUAUAUGGAGGAACACCAGUGGCGAAGGCGGCUCUCUGGUCUGUAACUGACGCUGAGGCUCGAAAGCGUGGGGAGCAAACAGGAUUAGAUACCCUGGUAGUCCACGCCGUAAACGAUGAGUGCUAAGUGUUGGAGGGUUUCCGCCCUUCAGUGCUGCAGCUAACGCAUUAAGCACUCCGCCUGGGGAGUACGACCGCAAGGUUGAAACUCAAAGGAAUUGACGGGGGCCCGCACNAGCGGUGGAGCAUGUGGUUUAAUUCGAAGCAACGCGAAGAACCUUACCAGGUCUUGACAUCCUUUGACCACUCUAGAGAUAGAGNUUCCCCUUCGGGGGCAAANUGACAGGUGGUGCAUGGUUGUCGUCAGCUCNUG
rnacentral:rRNA from 1 species